rnacentral:rRNA from 1 species
AACGAACGCUGGCGGCAUGCCUAACACAUGCAAGUCGAACGAGACCUUCGGGUCUAGUGGCGCACGGGUGCGUAACGCGUGGGAACCUGCCCUUAGGUUCGGAAUAACUCCCCGAAAGGGGUGCUAAUACCGGAUAAUGUCUUCGGACCAAAGAUUUAUCGCCUUUGGAUGGGCCCGCGUUGGAUUAGCUAGUUGGUAGGGUAAAAGCCUACCAAGGCGACGAUCCAUAGCUGGUCUGAGAGGAUGAUCAGCCACACUGGGACUGAGACACGGCCCAGACUCCUACGGGAGGCAGCAGUAGGGAAUAUUGUACAAUGGGCGAAAGCCUGAUCCAGCAAUGCCGCGUGAGUGAUGAAGGCCUUAGGGUUGUAAAGCUCUUUUACACGGGAUGAUAAUGACAGUACCGGGAGAAUAAGCUCCGGCUAACUCCGUG